rnacentral:rRNA from 1 species
AGAGCGAACGCUGGCGGCAGGCCUAACACAUGCAAGUCGAGCGCCCCGCAAGGGGGAGCGGCAGACGGGAGAGUAACACGUGGGAACGUACCCUUUGGUUCGGAACAACACAGGGAAACUUGUGCUAAUACCGGAUAAGCCCUUACGGGGAAAGAUUUAUUGCCAAAGGAUCGGCCCGCGUCUGAUUAGCUUGUUGGUGAGGUAACGGCUCACCAAGGCUACGAUCAGUAGCUGGUCUGAGAGGAUGAUCAGCCUCACUGGGACUGAGACACGGCCCAGACUCCUACGGGAGGCAGCAGUGGGGAAUAUUGGACAAUGGGCGCAAGCCUGAUCCAGCCAUGCCGCGUGGAUGAUGAAGGCCCUAGGGUUGUAAAGUCCUUUCGACGGGGAAGAUAAUGACGGUACCCGUAGAAGAAGCCCCGGCUAACUUCGUGCCAGCAGCCGC